rnacentral:lncRNA from 1 species
AUUUUUUACAGAAUAUACAAUGUACAUCUAGGUUUAGAGGUAAAGACUAGUUGACUCAGAGUUUAACAAUGUGUCCUUGUAAUAAUAAUAAAAUAAGGAGAUGUGGUAUGAUUGACAAUUGAGACAAAUAUCCACUGUCAACAAUGAAAAAGACCCAUAAUACAUGUACAUUGUAAAUGAAAGGCCCAAACAUGAACAAAUUUAUGAAAAAAAUAUAUUCCAUUGAGAAAACUAACAGCCUUAUUUAUCACAAAAUAAUCUACAAAAACCAAAUAUGACAGACAUGAACCAAUGACAACCACUGAUUUAUCAUAUUCUCAUCGCAAUAUUCAUGUAAUAUUUACCACUGGACAUUAAACACUAGGUCAUUGUUAAGCAUGUGUAGUAAAAGUGCAUGCAAAACCACAC